rnacentral:lncRNA from 10 species
AGAAGAAACUAAGGCUUGAGGAACCAGAGCAUUGCCUCCAACAAGUAGAGGAAUUCCCAAAACCUAAGCCAUUCUAGGACAGUAUCCAUCAGGCCACACAUUACAGAUGUGUGUGUUGGCUUUGACAUUAGAUGAAGAUGGGUGGGAAAUAUUUAAUAGGAAUGUGGAAGAGCUUGAGUAAACAAAUGUUGACAUGGUUCAACGUGAUGUAUGCUCAUUAGCUAACAGAACGUCCAAAUCAUUUGAUACGGUAUUAUGAAUCCUUCGUUUAGGACCAAAAAUAAUUAAGGGUCAGAUAUGGCUUUUCUGAACACCGCAUUGAAAAUGGUAAGAAUAUUUUUUACACAAAUCCUCAGCUAGAGCAUAUAUUCAAAAGAAAGCUGCAGGAUGAAAAAUCAGAAGAGAUAUUGUUGCAGAACUGUGAUAUGACGUGUUAGCAUCAUACACAUUUCAUAAAAAAGACAUCAGUGGACAUUGAAGUGGACCUAAU